rfam:Oryza meridionalis cultivar OR44 (W2112) chromosome 9, whole genome shotgun sequence.
AAUAAGUGCAGUUUUGCACUAUUCACGUUCAACGUUUAACCGUUCGUCUUAUUUGAAAAAGAAUUAUGAUUUGUAUUUUUAUUGCUAUUGGAUGAUAAACAUGAAUAAUACUUUAUGUAUGACUAAAUAUUUUUAUAUUUUUUAUAAAUUUUUUAAAUAAGAAGGACGGGUAAAUAUUAUGUACGGAUAUCCACAGCUACGGCACGG